rnacentral:ncRNA from 1 species
UACCUGGUUGAUCCUGCCAGUAGUCAUAUGCUUGUCUCAAAGAUUAAGCCAUGCAAGUCUAAGUACGAGCUCUCGUACAGUGAAACUGCGAAUGGCUCAUUAAAUCAGUUAUGGUUCAUUUGAUCGUACAGUUUACUUGGAUAACUGUGGUAAUUCUAGAGCUAAUACAUGCGAGAAGCGCCGACCUCGCGGGAGGCGUGCA